UACGUAGGGUGCGAGCGUUGUCCGGAAUUACUGGGCGUAAAGAGCUCGUAGGUGGUUUGUCGCGUUGUUCGUGAAAACUCACAGCUUAACUGUGGGCGUGCGGGCGAUACGGGCAGACUGGAGUACUGCAGGGGAGACUGGAAUUCCUGGUGUAGCGGUGGAAUGCGCAGAUAUCAGGAGUAACACCGGUGGCGAAGGCGGGUCUCUGGGCAGUAACUGACGCUGAGGAGCGAAAGCGUGGGGAGCGAACAGG
rnacentral:rRNA from 1 species